rnacentral:rRNA from 1 species
GCGGCAGGCUUAACACAUGCAAGUCGAACGAGAAACUAGACUUCGGUUUAGUGGAAAGUGGCAGACGGGUGAGUAACGCGUGGGAAUCUACCUUUGAGUGGGGAAUAACAACUAGAAAUGGUUGCUAAUACCGCAUACACCCUCCGGGGGAAAGGCUUCGGCCGCUCUUAGAUGAGCCCGCGUACGAUUAGUUUGUUGGUGAGGUAAAGGCUCACCAAGACUACGAUCGUUAGCUGGUUUGAGAGGAUGAUCAGCCACACUGGGACUGAGACACGGCCCAGACUCCUACGGGAGGCAGCAGUGGGGAAUAUUGGACAAUGGGCGAAAGCCUGAUCCAGCCAUGCCGCGUGAGUGAAGAAGGCCUUAGGGUUGUAAAACUCUUUCGGCAGGGAAGAUAAUGACGGUACCUGCAGAAGAAGCUCCGGCU